UGUAUCUAGUUCUAUUGUAGACAAGUACAUUGGUGAAAGUGCUCGUUUGAUCAGAGAAAUGUUUAAUUAUGCUAGAGAUCAUCAACCAUGCAUCAUUUUUAUGGAUGAAAUAGAUGCUAUUGGUGGUCGUCGGUUUUCUGAGGGUACUUCAGCUGACAGAGAGAUUCAGAGAACGUUAAUGGAGAUUAUGAAGCAAUUGUGAAGCUUUCGGAUGGCUUUAAUGGAGCAGAUCUGAGAAAUGUUUGUACUGAAGCAGGUAUGUUCGCAAUUCGUGCUGAUCAUGAUUUUGUAGUACAGGAAGACUUCAUGAAAGCAGUCAGAAAAGUGGCUGAUUCUAAGAAGCUGGAGUCUAAAUUGGACUACAAACCUGUGUAAUUUACUGUAAGAUUUUUGAUGGCUGCAUGACAGAUGUUGGCUUAUUGUAAAAAUAAAGUUAAAGAAAAUAAUGUAUGUAUUGGUAAUGAUGUCAUUAAAAGUAUAUGAAUAAAAAUAUGAGUAACAUCAUAAAAAUUAGUAAUUCAACUUUUAAGAUACAGAAGAAAUUUGUAUGUUUGUUAAAGUUGCAUUUAUUGCAGCAAGUUACAAAGGGAAAGUGUUGAAGCUUUUCAUAUUUGCUGCGUGAGCAUUUUGUAAAAUAUUGAAAGUGGUUUGAGAUAGUGGUAUAAGAAAGCAUUUCUUAUGACUUAUUUUGUAUCAUUUGUUUUCCUCAUCUAAAAAGUUGAAUAAAAUCUGUUUGAUUCAGUUCUCCUACA
rnacentral:lncRNA from 1 species